CUCAAUGGAUAUGACUUUGGGUAAACUCCUGGAGUUGGUGAUGGACAGGGAGGCCUGGCAUGCUGCAGUCCAUGGGGUUGCUAAGAGUUGGACACAACUGAGUGACUGAACUGAACUGAUAACAUCUUAUACCACCUGGUAAAUAUAUAUUAUGGUGCUUACCAAUGAUAAACAGAUUAGAGAGAGAGAGGGAAAGGGAAAAAAGAAAGGAAAUGGACAGAUCACUAAUAUGAACUGUAACCCUGUUCCCAACUCUUCCUUGCUUCUCCAUGUGGGCUGGGCCAGAUGCUUAACCUCCCGACGAAGGUAAGACCUCUGGAAAUGCUGUCUCUCUAGAGACAUGUGUGCAGGCACAGAGCCUUGGCAGCUACAAGGCAGCAUAAGCAACAACAUAUGCCUCUUACAGAGUCCGUGGCCAUGUGUAGACAGUCAGGCUGCAGGAGCGAGCCUCCCCCUGGGUUGGAGGGCAGCUCUUCCCUACCUACACCCAGAAGGCCAGACUCCACGAGCCCCAUCCCACCUUCCCCCGCCUCUCCUUCCUGCAGGCUGCUUUGUUGGUGUCUGAUGCUGACAGAGAAAUUCGCAGCCAGACCUGGCAAAUCACGGAGUUCUAGCUGAGGAGACAUAAGUGGAAGUGGAAGAGAGUGUUUCUUCAUUCUUGCUCCCUGGACUGCAGAUAUAAUUGUUGGCACUCCAGCAGCCAUACUGGGCCAUGAGGUGAAUUUGAAAAUAGAAUUCAUGCAUAGUGAGUAACAAGAUAGGAGGAGCAGAAGUCCUUGAUACCAGGAAGCCACCAAACCAUCCAUGACCAUCCUGACCUCUUUUCAUGAGAGGAAAAUAAACUAUUUCCUUUAAA